CCAGUGGAGAUGCUGUUACCUGC
rnacentral:miRNA from 1 species